rnacentral:lncRNA from 1 species
GCCGCGCUCACUUAUUAUUCCCACACUCACCCGACGUUUCCUCUCCCCCUGCGGGUGAGGAGCCCCCGGGAAGCCCCUUGCCAGCUCAGCCCACGCUUAUUUGUCAACGAAGUGACAUGGCUUCUCUGUGGACAACCUGCUUUUCAGUUAUUUUGAGUGGCUCUUUAAGCCCAUAUGUACUUGCUUAAGCCAUUUUCAAUCAUCCAAAGAGACCAUCGGGUGACUUAGCAGAGAAGGCCUCGUCCUGACCAGGAAAUCCCUGGUUUCCAGUGCUGUCUGUCACAGAGUGGUGAGUUGAAUUCAGAGAAGAACCUCUUCGCUACCAGACCUAAGGCAACCUUCUCCCACCCAACCUGAAUAAAGGUUCAAACACAUGAUCUAGAAGUUGAGAAGUUUCCAGAGAGUCAGAUAUCCUGCCUAAGAUCUUUUCACUUCUUCUUACCACGUAUAAAUAAAAGACGACAUUUUUGAGGCAUGAAACACCGAGUCUCACACUCAUUUGUCCUCUUAUCAUCUCCCUGUCUCUUCUGGCUCAAGAAUCCAAAAGCCAGUAUUCCAUUCCUAGCUUUGGCAGAAGAUGAGAAGCAGAGAAAAAUGAAAUGGAAAUAUCAGUCAGAGAAUACUUGCCUUUAUUGUAUUUUCUUUCCUAAAACUAAUUAUUCUGGCUUGAGAAGGAGAAGAAUAAUAAAACGCUGU